CUGUGUUUUUGUUGUUAUUUUCAUGAAAUGGACAGGGAAAGUGCCUGCAAAAUUCUGGUUUUCAGAAUCAGUAAUUUUCACAAGAUUUUACAUAAAAAUGAUGUGUCUUUGUCAUACACGAAUAAAAAGCGACCAGUGUUUCUCCAGAAAGAGCCACUUUUGUGUAAUAUCUAUUUGUAUUAGUUAAAAUGAAAUAAUUUGCAGUUAUAAAAAUCCAGGUUUGUUAUAUAUAUUUCUAGUAAUUUAUCCUAGAAUGUUUUGAUAAUUUCUGGGAAAGGUCUGUAUGUGUUCAAAGUCUUGCUAUCAUACCUCUAAAUUCUGAUCUGCUUCUGUGUAUAUAACCAUAUGCUCUCUGCCCUAGAGUAACAGAAUCAAAUAUCAAGUGGUGUCUCUUUUGUCAGCUGAACCUUUGGUGGCCUGCAUUCCUCAGCAUCAUUUAAGCCACAAAGAUUUCUUGCAGGGGAGAUGUCCUUCACAUGAAGAACUAUUUUUUACAUUUUUAAUGAGGUCUUCAAGAGCUUCACUGCAGUACAUGCAGUAUGUACCUAGCACAGGAACAGUGCAAACAGCACAGCCUGAAGUGGUGACUGGAGCUGGAAGUAUUCAAGCUUACCCCCUGUUUGUUGCAGUAUUUCCAUGGCAACUGAAUGCUAUAAGAAGGUUUUCUCUGAAUAUAUUGCUUUAUAAUUUUUCUCUGCUAGUUAUCAAUUACUAUAAAAAAUAGUCUGCUGUGAUGUUUUGUUUAUUUACACUUAUGCACAUAGUUUGUAUUUAUUUUGUUAUUAUUGGUAACAUCAAUUUUAAUGGUUCAGAUUACCAGAGAAGAUAGAAAGGUAAAUGAUGAGUCACUGUGGCAAAAAAAUAAAAGUAAACUCUGCCCAUGAGAAAAAAAGUCAGGGUGAAUAUGUAUAUCAGUUAGUAUCAGACGGAAAUGUUUUUGUUCAUACAGAUUUAUUUUUCAUGUCCAGUUAGCUAUUUGCUGUUAACUGUCCUCUGUGAUCCUAGCUUAGCUUCUAUUCAGAGACCACAAGAUAAAUCAGAUGUGGCAGCGAGCUUCACCUUUCAGUGUUCUGUGCCACAUGUGAGAGCCUGGAUCCUUCCAGUCAGACAGCAAACACUGGCGAUGUGAGCCAGAAAUGACACAUCAACUGAAGUUCAAGGAGUACCAUUGAACUGUGCUCUUUAUCUACUAAGAAAACAGCUCCACUGGUGUGACGAGUCUUAGCUAAUGAACCACCACUGCCUAGCUGGGGAACAUCAAGCCCUGCUGUCCUGAUUCAUGACACUUGCUCAGCCAUCAGACAACACCACGUGCUGAGGAUGAAAAUCAUUUAAUAAAAAGGAGAAUGGAUUGCAGCUGGAGUCCCGGUCUUCAAUAUGAGGCAGCCAAAUCUAACACAGGAGUGAGACAUGGCUCCCCAUUCUCUCAUGUGCCAUGUAUGACUCAACUAGGCUGAUAUAAAGAGACUAGUUAGAGGGCCCUUCACCCACCUUUCUGGUUCAUAUCACUGAGUCUGGGAUGCCAGUGACAAAUUUCUUCCCUGCUUUAUAUGCAAAGGAGAUGAUGUACAUGUGUCACCAAGGCAGGCUCCACUAUCUGGGUUAUCCUGCUGCUGAGUUAUGAUGUGGCACAGACAGGGAUUGAUGAUACUACUAAGAUCAGCAAAUAACACCAUUCACCUGUCAGCUCAAAGACAAAAACUCUGUCCUUUUAGCACCAACAGGCAAAUGGCAGCUGGAAAGAAAAGGUCCAAAAUUUUAUAUUCUAUUAAGGAGAAGGAAAUGGCAUGAGAAAUUUGGAUAGCACUGCUCUGUGACUUGGUACUUUGGCCCAUUUUUUUUGGAAAAAUUAGUUGGAAGUUUAUCAACUCUCUGCCAAAAAAGAAAUAUAUAUUCCACUGAAACUCUCUCUGUGUAUAAAUUGCCAUGAUUUUGAAAAAUUCACAUAGAACUGGAAAAGUAAUGAAAAAAAAGUAAUGAAAAACUUCCAUGUAGUGUGGCUCCUAACAAGGACUAAAAAGCACCCUUUAAUUUCAUACCACACACUACAUUUCUUAAGGAUGGAACAAAUGGUAACAAACUAUGUUGUAAAGAUUUGGUUAUGUGAAGAUGAUUAAAAGGUCCCCCAAAUCUCUCCAUGGCUUUCUUCAGCUUUGAGUAGGGCCUAGAUAUUUAGAGAAUAUAAAACCUCAGGUAAUGCCCUUUUGUUCACUAUUACUUUUGUUUAAGACCCCUGGCAUUCAUUCUUCUUUGAGAGCAUAAAACUAUAAUGUAGGUAAGAUGAUAAAUCAUCUUACCAAAUAACUAAUAGAAUUUACCUUUUCAUUGUGUGAAUUAUCUCCAGACUCAGAGAUUGAACUGGUUUUGUUGAACUAUUGGAUAAAUAAAAUGGAACAACACUCCAGAGCAAAAAUA